GAAACGAGAAGGCCUGACCUCCUGGGAGUCCAGAGACUGGCGGUUUGAUUGAGUGCACACUGUCAAUUUUUUUGGUUGAUGUCUUAGUGCAUUAAUUUAAUGCUCACAAAGGCCUGUUGUGGUGGGUGCUGCUAUUACCCACGUCGCACACGUUUGAUCCCUCUCCCCAGGCUCAUUUGUAUCUAGAGAUGCACCUCUUCCCGGCUUCGGAUCUUUGGUCAGUGUUGGUGUCAUUGGAGGCCUCAGAUUAGGUGUCACCGACUCAGAAGGAAAGAAUUCUGCUGGCUAGUUUUAUGUCAACAUGACACAAACUGGAGUCAUUGGAGAGGAGGGAACCCCAUCUGAGAAAAUGCCUCCCUAAGACCAGGCUGCAGGAAAACAUACAGCAAGGUUUGGGAUUGUUGUGGGAGGGUCUGUUGUAGGUGGGGCCAGAAAUCAGGCUGAGUAAGCCUGGAGGAGCAAGCCGGCAAGCAGCACUCUGUCAGGGCCUCUGCAACAGCUCCUGCUCAGGUUCUGCCCUGUUUGAGUUCCUGUCCUGACUUCCUUAACUGAUGAACAGUGAUGUGAAAGUAUAAGCCAAAUAAGCCCUUUUGGUGAUGACGUUUCUUCACAGCAAUAGUAACCCUAACCAGGACAACCUCUGUGGUCCUUAGCAGACUGGAUUCUGCAGUACUCCCCCAACCUCUGCAGCACAGCACACUGACCCUGACAACAUCAGCCUUUCUUUGCCUUCUAUAAUCCUGGAGUCCCUAUGCAUAAGAGAAACGAGAAGCAUGGCACAUCCUUGGAUCAGCAGAGCUGGGACAGAGACCAUCCACAGCAGGAACUUCAGCCAGGUGGCUGAAGGCAGAGACUUUGCUGGAGGAAGAGGACCCAGCUUACAGUCCAUUAUCCAGGGAAGUCACGUCAGAAACUCAAGGCAGCAGAAACUGGUGCAGAGGGAGUACUGCUCACCGGCCUGCUCAGUCCAGCUUUAAACCAUCCAGGAACACUUGGCCAGGGUGGUUCCACCCACAGUGGGCUGGGCCCUCCCACAUCAAUCACUAAGAAAAUGCCCUACAGUCUUGCCUUCAGACAAUUGAGCAUUUUCUCAAUUGAGUGUCCUUUUUCUCAAAUGACUCUAGACAUAACACUAGUCAGGACAAAUUCCAACUGAGAGAGAAUCCACAAAAUACCUGACUUGUAUUCUUCCAAACUGCCACUGUUAAGAUUGGGGAUACUAGGACUAUAGAGAUGGCUCAGUUGUUAAGAGUGCUUACUGCCUGUAAUCCAAGGACUUGGGGAGGCUGAGGCAGGUGGAUCUCUGUGAGUUCAAGGCCAGCCUGGUCUACAAAGUGAUCCAGGACAGUCACGGCUACAGAGAGAAACCUUGUUUCGAAAACAGAACAAAAGAGUGCUUACAGCUUUUGCAGAGGACUUGAAUUCAGUUCCCAGCACCCACUCUGAGUGACUCAACUACCUGUAACUCCAGCUCUAGGGGAUCUGAUGCCCUCUUCUGCGUCCAUGGGUAUCUACACACAUGUGGCAUACAUUCACACAAACACAUAAUUAAAAAUAAAUAUUUAGGAAAGUUUGAGGAUGUUUCUCAGUAGAAGAGCACUUGCUUAGUAUGUACAAGGCCUUGGGAUCCAGCCCCAGUAUCACAAAAGCAACAGCAACAACAGCACAACAACACCAACAAAAUGUUAAGGUCUCUGGGCCUUUAAUCCCAGCACUCGGAAGGCAGAGGCAGAGAGAGGCACAGAGGCAGAGUGGCAGAGGCAGGCUGGUUUACAGAGUGAGUUCCAGGACAGCCAAGGUUACACAGAGAAAUCCUGUCUCAAAAUAAAUAAACAAACAAACAAACAAAUAAAUAAACAAAAACUUAGGGUCAUAAAAAUACAGAUAGAAAAUUAGAGGUAAUGUCACAAUCCAGACAAACCCAAGAAGACAGUGACAGGUGACUACGCGUAGUGUGGUAUUCUGAAGGGACUUGUGGAAUGGACAAGAGCUAUUAGGAGGCAAUAAGGGAAAUAUGUAUAAAACUCAGACAUGGAUUAAUAAUGAUGAUCACCCAAACAGAACAUGUUUGUAGAAGGGGCAAUAGGGUAGUUGAAGCAGCCAUCCUGUACUAACUCUGCAACUUUUCUGAGAUUAAAAACAAAAGCGGGGUGGGGGGGGAGCUGGAGAGAUGGCUCAUUGGUUAAGAGCACUGCCUGUUCUUCUGAAGGACCCAGGUUCAAUUCCCAGCACCCACAUGGCAGCUCACAACUCUCUGUACUGCCAAUUCCAAGGGAUCUGACACCUUCACACUAA